ACUCUAAUGACUUUUGAUUCAGAAAAAGCAUCCCACCAGCAGAUUUUUUUUAAUAUAAUCACAAGAAGGUGCAUUAAUGAACCUUAGAGUUGAUCAGUUAUGUAGCAGUAGCAGCAUGUAUAUUACAGCUGUUAAUGCUGGGCUGCUUCAACUGGUGGCCAACCACUGAAGUGGGGCGGGGCAUUUAAGCUGCGGUCCUUCCCCCGUUUCUUCCGCUGCUUCCUCUGCGUCACGUCCGUGUAACAGUUGCUGAGGGCCUGCGGUGGUGGUGCUGGUGUCCGGUGGUGGCGUCCCCCUCCCUUUGGUGUGCUGUGUCCCUGGGGAAGUGGUUCAUGUCCAGAGUGUGUGUCACGUGUGCUUGGGGUGUUUUUUUUUUUUUUUUUUAAAUAUUAUUUUGGGGUACUUCCUUCACCUCCACUAGCCCCAUCCACCGAGCAGCCAGCAACUGAUUAUAGUUCUCUUUUGUUUCUUUUUCAUUUGGCCCCUGGUGUGAAUGGUGUUUAUCUGUUUUUUUGAUUCUGCUCUUUUAGAAAAAUUAUAAUAAAUUGCUUUAAAUUUGGAUCCAUGUCUCAGCCUCCUGUAGUAAUGAACUUGCGUGCCUUAAGUAUUAAAGGAAAACAAUUCACUGGGUGAAAUUCCCAGGGUGGCGUUGUUGGACAUCAGACUUAAUUUUUGAACUGGUGCAAUGUACAUUGUGCUUGUGUAGAGUCGCGCCACGACAGUUAUUUAACAUGUUUUCAUUGUGGGUUGUCUCUUUGUGUGUUUGUACCUCAGCUUGUGAUUUCACCACCCUGUAACCUGCUGACUAAACACACACCCGCUGUAUCCACAAGUUGUCUAUCAGGAGGGAGAAUAAAAUCACAACAGUGCCUUUAGGGGGGACACGUACUUGGUGGUUCACUUGCUCCAAGGUAUUUCGAAUGAAAGCCUUGCUUAAACUGCAUGCUUUCAGACACGAGUCUCAGCAUAAACUCAAGGCUGCUGAUCUUUCCCACUGUGUGACAGGAUGUGACAUGACACUGGUUUCAUGUGGUUUCCUUGCGAUGUUUGAAACUCAACGCUGAGGUGGACGAGUGGAAGAAUUUUGUGAAAUGUCAAGACAGGAAAUAUUUUUUUAAAACCCACCAGAGAUUCUGGUACAAACUCGAAGAUUAAACUCUCCACAAGGAUCCAAAAUAAGUUGGACUUCUACCUGAGAGCUUUAGUUAUUCAUCUACUUCCUGAAAAGUUUGGUCAAUAAAAAAGACAAACUAAUAUUUUCAGCUGAACCAAAGACAGACUUUGAUUUUUCUACUCAGAUGUUGUGUUGUUGUAAAAUUACUCUUUCAAAUAAAUAGCCUCCGAACUCCCUGGAAA